AAAACUAUACUUCCAGCAAUCCUUUCUAUAAAUUAUGACUUGAGAAAUGUGUUUUUAAAGUGUAUGGUCUUGCUGACCACGAUGAAGAGUUGGUGAUACUCCUUCUUGAACGUGAAGAAAGUAGAGACUUGGUUCAUCCAUGUUCUCUGCUACUGAUGACUGUUCACUGUUUCUUUUUGAGACGGUGAGGGAAGGAGUAUGAUCUCAGUGGG
ensembl:snoRNA U3 Small nucleolar RNA U3